UACGGGGGGGGCAAGCGUUGUUCGGAAUUACUGGGCGUAAAGGGCUCGUAGGCGGCCAACUAAGUCGGAUGUGAAAUCCCCAGGCUCAACCUGGGAACUGCAUCCGAUACUGGAUGGCUUGAAUUCGGGAGAGGGAUGCAGAAUUCCAGGUGUAGCGGUGAAAUGCGUAGAUAUCAGGAGGAAUACCGAUGGCGAAGGCAGGUCUCUGGGCUAUAACUGACGCUCAUGCACGAAAGCGUGGGGAGCAAACAGG
rnacentral:rRNA from 1 species